CUGGCUCAGAGCGAACGUUAGCGGCGCGCCUAACACAUGCAAGUCGCACGAGAAAGGGGGCAACCCCCGGUACAGUGGCGCACGGGUGAGUAACACGUAGAUGACCUUCCCUGGAGUGGUGGAUAACCUGCCGAAAGGCGGGCUAAUACAGCAUGGGACCACACGGCUUUGGCCGAGUGGUGAAAGCGGGCCUCUGUUCACAAGCUCGCGCUCUGGGAUGGAUCUGCGGCCCAUCAGCUAGUUGGUGAGGUAACGGCUCACCAAGGCUACGACGGGUAGCUGGUCUGAGAGGAUGAUCAGCCACACUGGAACUGAGACACGGUCCAGACUCCUACGGGAGGCAGCAGUGGGGGAAUCUUGCGCAAUGGGCGAAAGCCUGACGCAGCGACGCCGCGUGGGUGACGAAGGCCUCGG
rnacentral:rRNA from 1 species